UGAUCUUAAAAUUCCGGCGAGACUAGGCCAGGCCCGGCCGAGGCGCCUCCCUUCUCCUUCUCUAGUUCGAUUUUGACUUCCGCUCAAAGCCCUGAAACACCCGCAGGACUCUCUCUUUCUGAAAUCUGGACGCAAAGACCGUAGUUGAUCACUCUUUCGGCCAGCGGACAGUUGCCCUCCUCCCUCUUCGUAGCGAAGCUCACCCCCGAACACACCCACGCACCGGCCUGCCUCCACCGCUCGGAUUUUGAACGAAGAGAGCCGCCUGAGCCCUAGCCCUAAAACCGCCUGACUCGCCGGCUGUAGCCCUCGCCCGAUGUUGCUGCUGUUGAAGCAGCGCCACCUG
rnacentral:lncRNA from 1 species